rnacentral:lncRNA from 1 species
GACAGACCUAUUUUUUGGCGGAAAAAAAAAUUUUUGAUUCCUCUUACUUACGUAAAAUAAAUAACAUAAUGAAACAAACUUUUAAUUUUUAUUUAUCUCUAAAAUAGAAAAAAAUAUAUUUAUCCAAAUUUUUGCCAACCGAAAGAUCUUUACUGUGAAUCUAUAUUUUAAUUCGAAAUUUGUUUAAUUUUUUUAUCUCUAAAAUAGAAAAAAAUUAUGCUUAUCCAAAUUUUUUCUAGAAUAUCUUUAUUUUAAUUCAAAAUUUAAAAUUAAUUUAAAAUUUUAAAUUCUGGGAUUGUCAAUAUAUUACAACGGAAAUAAUUUAAAAGACGGAUUGAUUGAUAAAUUUGUAAAUCUUAAUUUUGAAUUAAUAUGAUGUACAAAUUUAUGAUCAAUUUGUAAAAAAUUAUCUCAAAUAAGAACGAACGAUUAUGAUCAAUUUGUUAAAAAAAAUAUUUAUAUCCAUCUAUAAAUUCAAUUCUAUGAACGGUUAUGAUCAAUUGGUUAAAAAUAUUUAAAAUAAAAAUGAACGGUUAUGAUCAAUCUGUUAAAAAAUAGCACUUCUAUCCAUCUAUUUUACGUUAAAAUUUAAAUUUGAGUUUAAAUCAUGAAUUAAAUUAAUUUUUUUAU